rnacentral:tRNA from 1 species
CCAGCGGGUGGCCGAGGGCGAUGGCGCCGCCGUUGGCGUUGGUGCGCGCCGGGUCGUAGUCCAGCUCCUUGGCCCA